rnacentral:misc_RNA from 1 species
CGUAACAAGGUCUCCGUUGGUGAACCAGCGGAGGGAUCAUUACAGAGUUUUCUAAACUCCCAACCCAUGUGAACUUACCACUGUUGCCUCGGCGGCGCCCUUCUCCUUAGGGGGUGCGGGACCGCCGGUGGAAUACCAAACUCUUUUGAAUUCUUAGCACUUCUGAGUUAAAAACAUAAUAAGUUAAAACUUUCAACAACGGAUCUCUUGGUUCUGGCAUCGAUGAAGAACGCAGCGAAAUGCGAUAAGUAAUGUGAAUUGCAGAAUUCAGUGAAUCAUCGAAUCUUUGAACGCACAUUGCGCCCAUUAGUAUUCUAGUGGGCAUGCCUGUUCGAGCGUCAUUUCAAACCCUUAAGCCCUGUUGCUUAGCGUUGGGAGCCUGCUGUAAAAGGCAGCUCCUCAAAGUUAUUGGCGGAGUUUUAGCAAUCUCUAAGCGUAGUAAUUUAUUCUCGUUUCUGUAGUUGCUCUAGCCCCUGCCGUAAAACCCCAACUUUUCAGGUUUGACCUCGGAUCAGGUAGGAAUACCCGCUGAACCUAAGCAUAUCA